GGGGAAGCAAAGAACACAAGAAGGAAGAGAUGAAGAGAAAGUAAAGAAAAAAAAGAUAAAUGAAGAAUAGAAUGGAAAUGAAGUAAAUUGAUAAACCACAAGAAGACUCAGAGAAUAAUCGAAUACGAAGCAGAGAAGACGAAAAAAAGAAGAAUAAAGAAAAGGAAAAACUCCAAAGAAACUGAACGGAAGCAACUCUUCAUCACAAACUUGUACAAGAGAAGGAGAGAAGAAGGGAUCAGAAGAAAAGAGGAAUAAGAGGAGACUGAAGGGGAGACUCAGAGGAACAUUUGAAGAUGUAAAAGGUGGAGAGGUGAGAGCAACCAGAUCGCCACCACCACCACCUCCUUCUCCUCCUCCUCCUCCUCCUCCUCCUCCUCGUCUUCGUCGUAACCAAGGAAGGAAACCAUCUCCAUUAACUCAACCACCACCACCAUCCCCUUCUCCUCCUCCUCCUCCUCCUCCUUCUCCUCCACCACCACUUCCUCCUCCUCUUCCUCAAAACUACAUACUAAAAACAAAAGCGGAUGUGUUGGGAGAGAGAGAGAGAGCAAGAUAAACGUGAAGAGGGAAGAAGAGGAGACAACAAAAAGUACAAAAGAGGAAAAUGACACUUUAAAGAAGAAGAAGAAGAAGAAGAAGAAGAAGAAGAAGAAGAAGAAGAAGAAAGAGACGAGACAGGGGGAGAGAGAAAUAAAAGACGUGCUAAAAUAGAACGGAAUGAUAACAACAGCAACAAAAACAAGAAGAAGAAGAAGAAGAAGAAGAAGAAGAAGAAGAAGAAGAAGAAGAGCAGCAACAACAACAACAACAACAACAACAAGAACAACAAUGCAACGGAACGCAGAAAAUGGAGGAGGGACGCUUGGCUGGACAUACCGUCACGGCUUCGUCAGGUUCAUCUGUUGAGGAAAACAAAGACAAACUGUUGUAACAGAAACAAAUGCAUAAAGAAAAUAUAUACACUAACUACUCAGUAUUCAUAUAAACUAAAAAAGAAAAAAAAAAGACCUUUUUUUUAUGUAUACAAGAAGUAUGCAUUAAUCAUUUAUUUACAAGUAUGUAUUUAUUUCAUACUUUCAUUUAUGUAUUAUUCAUUUACUCAAAAAGUGCUUGUUUGUUCUAUACUCUUUAAUUCAUUUAAAAAUAUGUAUUUACUCUACACUCCAUCUUUCAUGUAUACAAACAAUAUGUAAUACUCAUUAAUCUAAAAAAAAAAAUAUGUAUGUAUAUAAGCAAACAACAUAUAUUACUAAUCCAUUAAAAAACAAAAAAAACAUGUACACUCUUGAAGCUUUUCGGAUACAAACACUAAUCCAUUUAAAAGUAUUUAUUAACUCCACACACUUCGUCUCACACAUCUAUUUAAAAGAAAAAAUUAUGUAUCUACUCUACAUGCUCCAAAUUUUAUUUCGUAUACAAAUACUAAUCCAUUAAAAAAAAAAAAAGCAUGUAUUCCACAGUCUUUAAGCUUCACGUAUACAAACACUAAUUCAAAAAGUAUGCAUCUAUUCGCAUACAAACACUAAUCUAUAAAAAAAAUGUAUCUAUUCUUCUCGUGUAUAGAGGAGAAGCUUUGAUUGCAUGGACCAAGUGAUGCAGGUGUUCCUCAUUGCUUCUCCCACCUGUGUUGUGUCUCCUGAGUGUUGUUUGUGUUGCCUGUCUGUGUUUUGAGUGGGUGUAGCAAAGGCCCCAACAAGGCAGCUUCGGGCUUUAUUAUUUUUGAGUUACAUAGGACGUACACUUGCCUGAAGGAGCGAUGCCAUAAGUGCACGAAAA